UUCAGUUAUGUCUUUCUUGAGCAUUAAUAUUUAAUUAAUUAAUUAGUUUUAUGGCAGACUCAUUAGCUUAUUAGAUAAAACAAUUACAAGGGUCUCAAGUAUCAGUCCAAGACAUGCAAGUUUCUUCAGUUAUGAUGCAAUUUUUGUAUGACCGGAUCAACGGCCAGGGUGCAAAAGUCCUAUCUAAAUUUUCUCUUAAUUAAUUAGCCAUUAAUUCAAUCGGUUCAUGGGGGUUUAAUGAGCAGUAAGAGAAUGAUUUCUGUCUUGCCACCAACAUCAAGCAGCAUUUGAAAAACGCCAUUCAAAAGUACGUAGCAACAAUACCCGGCUACCGAUAAUCAGUUCCGUUUCCGAACUCUAUAAUUAUAUGUUGGUUUUCUGAUAAUUCAUGUAUAAGCUUAAGCCAUAGCUAAAGAUCAUUAUACAGAAGGUAAAUAAAAGCUUGUAGAAACGAAAAUCUGUUUGAUAUAAACAAGCUGAAUUUGCGCAUGCAUGCCUAA